rnacentral:misc_RNA from 1 species
GCUCUACUCCUUACUCAUAACAGACUCAUCCUCAAAUUCUGGAGCUGAGAUAUACAUAAUUAACUCCUAAAGUAGACUGCUUAUAAUUCUGAUUAUAUUCAGGGGACUGCAGCAUAAAAUGUUAAGUGAGUCUUACAGGAGAAAUUUCCGGUGAUGCUUUCUGCAUAUUAGAUAUUGUGGGGACUCAUGACGGUUUUUCAUGGCAUAGUUCUAGCUUUUAGGCACCUAUAUUCAGCAGAUGUGUAGCUGAGGUCUCUUCGUCAUUUCUUUCUGGCCAAAAGGCUUCUUUUCCUU